rnacentral:tRNA from 1 species
GGAAUGUUAUUUAGUGGCAGAAUGAUUGCUUAAUAUGCAGGAGGCCCUGGGUUCAAGUCCCAGCACCA